GACGAACGCUGGCGGCGUGCCUAACACAUGCAAGUCGAACGAGGUCCAUCCUUCGGGAGAAGACCUAGUGGCGAACGGGUGAGUAACACGUGAGGAACCUGCCCCGAAGACCGGGAUAACCCUCCGAAAGGAGAGCUAAUACCGGAUACCCCCACCGAGCCGCAUGGUUUGGUGAGGAAAUGGAUUCCGCUUCGGGAGGGCCUCGCGGCCUAUCAGCUAGUUGGUGGGGUAACGGCCCACCAAGGCAUCGACGGGUAGCUGGUCUGAGAGGACGAUCAGCCACACUGGGACUGAGACACGGCCCAGACUCCUACGGGAGGCAGCAGUGGGGAAUCUUGCGCAAUGGGCGAAAGCCUGACGCAGCAACGCCGCGUGGGGGAUGAAGGCUCUCGGGUUGUAAACCCCUUUCAGCAGGGACGAAUCAAGACGGUACCUGCAGAAGAAGCCCCGGCUAACUACGUGCCAGCCGCCGCGGUAAAAC
rnacentral:rRNA from 1 species